AUUGAACGCUGGCGGCAGGCCUAACACAUGCAAGUCGAGCGGGGUUUUCGGACCUAGCGGCGGACGGGUGAGUAAUGAGUAGGAAGCUGCCCGAUAGAGGGGGAUACCAGUUGGAAACGACUGUUAAUACCGCAUAAUGUCUACGGACCAAAGUGUGGGACCUUCGGGCCACAUGCUAUCGGAUGCGCCUACGUGGGGUU
rnacentral:rRNA from 1 species